UACGUAGGGGGCAAGCGUUGUCCGGAAUUAUUGGGCGUAAAGCGCGCGCAGGUGGUUUCUUAAGUCUGAUGUGAAAGCCCACGGCUCAACCGUGGAGGGUCAUUGGAAACUGGGGAACUUGAGUGCAGGAGAGAAGAGUGGAAUUCCACGUGUAGCGGUGAAAUGCGUAGAGAUGUGGAGGAACACCAGUGGCGAAGGCGACUCUUUGGCCUGUAACUGACACUGAGGCGCGAAAGCGUGGGGAGCGAACAGG
rnacentral:rRNA from 1 species